AAAACACUAUUGAACGCUAGCGGCAUGCUUUACACAUGCAAGUCGAACGGCAGCGCGGGGCAACCUGGCGGCGAGUGGCGAACGGGUGAGUAAUACAUCGGAACGUGCCCUGUGAUGGGGGAUAACUACGCGAAAGCGUAGCUAAUACCGCAUACGACCUACGGGUGAAAGUGGGGGAUCGCAAGACCUCACGUCAUAGGAGCGGCCGAUGGCGGAUUAGCUAGUUGGUGAGGUAAAGGCUUACCAAGGCGACGAUCCGUAGCUGGUCUGAGAGGACGACCAGCCACACUGGGACUGAGACACGGCCCAG
rnacentral:rRNA from 1 species